GCCGAAAGCUGGCGGCGUCCCUAAUACCUGCAAGUAGAACGCCGUUCCGAACGGGUGAGUAACGCGUAGGUAACUGCCUCAAAGCGGGGGGUAACUAUUGGAAACGACAGCUAAUACCGCUUACUGUGAGAUGGACCUGCGUUGUAUUAGCUAGUUGGUGUGGUAACGGCUCACCAAGGCGACGUUACAUAGCCGACGUGAGAGGGGGUUCUGCCACACUGAGGCGGUGGCACGACCCAGACUCCCACGGGAGGCAGCAGUAGGGACUCUGCGGCAAUGGACGGAAGUCUGACCGAGCAACGCGGCGUGAGUGAAGAAGGUUGUCGGUUCGGAAAGCUCUGUUGUGAGAGAAGCGGUAACUAACCAGAGAGGGACGGCUAACUACGUGCCAGCAGCCGCGGUAAUAC
rnacentral:rRNA from 1 species